AUGUGCCCGCAUAGAGAUUGGUUUAGUACUUUUGAUUCCACUACUUCUGCUGGUUCCGUUUUGGGUUUUGAUAAUUCACCAUGCAAGAUUGAAGGCAUAGGUUCCGUUCGAAUCAAGAUGUUUGAUGGCAUGAUCAGAACUUUGACAGAUGUUCGGUAUAUUCCAAAGAUGAAGAUAAAUCUUAUCUCUAGUAGUGCCCUUGAUGGAAAGGGAUACAAAUAUUCAGGUGGAGAUAGUGUUUUGAAGGUCACCAAUGGCUCCCUUGUUGUGAUGAAAGGUGACUUAAGUUCGACCAAUGGUCUUUAUUACCUUCGAGGUUCUACUGUUUCAGGUAACGCUACUCUAGUUAUUUCAAAGAAUUCUGAUUGUGAUGCUGCUAACCUUUGGCAUAUGCGUCUUGGACAUAUGAGUGAACUUGGUUUAGCAGAGUUAAAUAAGAGAGGUCUCAUUGAUGGAUAUGAACCUGGUAAAUUGAAAUUUUGUGAGCAUUGUAUCUUCGGCAAGCACAAGAGGGUAAAGUUCAACACUUCAACUCAUACAACUGAAGGUAUUCUUGAUUAUGUGCAUUCUGAUUUAUGGGGACCAUCUCGCAAGAAGUCAUUAGGUGGUGCAAGUUACAUGCUGACUAUUAUUGAUGAUUAUCCGAGAAAAGUUUGGCCUUAUUUCUUGAAGCAUAAAUAUGAAGCAUUCUCAGCAUUUAAGGAGUGGAAGAUUAUGAUUGAAAGGCAAACUGAAAGGAAGGUAAAAAUACUUCGCACUGAUAAUGGUAUGGAAUUCUGUUCUAAGCAAUUUAAGAAUUAUUACAAGUCUGAAGGCAUUGUCAGACAUUACACCGUUCCUUAUACUCCUCAACAAAACGGUAUUGCUGAGCAUAUGAACAGGACCAUUAUUUCCAGAGCUCGUUGCAUGUUGUUCAAUGCAGGUUUGCAUAGACGUUUUUGGGCUGAGGCCGCUUCCACUGCUUGUUAUCUCAUUAACCGUUCACCAUCUAUUCCUCUUAAUAAGAAAACUCUAAUUGAGGUAUGGUUUGGUUCACCUGCUGAUUAUUCAUAG
rnacentral:rRNA from 1 species